GACGAACGCUGGCGGCGUGCUUAACACAUGCAAGUCGUACGGUAAGGCCCUUUCGGGGGUCCACGAGUGGCGAACGGGUGAGUAACACGUGAGUAACCUGCCCACAACUUUGGGAUAACGCUAGGAAACUGGUGCUAAUACUGGAUAUGUGCUCCUGCUGCAUGGUGGGGGUUGGAAAGCUCCGGCGGUUGUGGAUGGACUCGCGGCCUAUCAGCUUGUUGGUGGGGUAGUGGCCUACCAAGGCGGCGACGGGUAGCCGGCCUGAGAGGGUGACCGGCCACAUUGGGACUGAGAUACGGCCCAGACGCCUACGGGAGGCAGCAGUGGGGAAUAUUGCACAAUGGGCGCAAGCCUGAUGCAGCAACGCCGCGUGCGGGAUGACGGCCUUCGGGUUGUAAACCGCUUUCAGCAGGGACGAAGCUUUUUGUGACGGUACCUGCAGAAGAAGCACCGGCUAACUACGUG
rnacentral:rRNA from 1 species